rnacentral:rRNA from 2 species
AGCAGCCGCGGUAAUUCCAGCUCCAAUAGCGUAUAUUAAAGUUGUUGCAGUUAAAAAGCUCGUAGUUGAAUUUCGGGAUCAAUAUGUUGGUCGUGCCUUGGUACGUACUGGCAUUAUUGGUUCCUACCUUCUGAAGAACCUCGAUGUCAUUAAUUUGGUGUCUUGGGGAAUCAGGACUGUUACUUUGAAAAAAUUAGAGUGUUUAAAGCAGGCUCGCGCUUGAAUACAUUAGCAUGGAAUAAUGAAAUAGGACGUUUGAUUCUAUUUUGUUGGUUUCUAGGAUCGACGUAAUGAUUAAUAGGGAUAGUUGGGGGCAUUAGUAUUCAAUUGUCAGAGGUGAAAUUCUUGGAUUUAUUGAAGACUGACUACUGCGAAAGCAUUUGCCAAGGAUGUUUUCAUUAAUCAAGAACGAAAGUUAGGGGAUCGAAGACGAUCAGAUACCGUCGUAGUCUUAACCAUAAACUAUGCCGACUAGGGAUCGGAUGAUGUUAAUUUUUUAAUGACUCAUUCGGCGCCUUACG